GUUUGAGAGAAUGGGUGGGAUUCCCUUAUUUUCUCUGUGAUUCCACUGCCCCCCCACCCAGGCUAGUUGGCGGGGUGCGGGGGUGGGGUCUUCCUCUCCGGUCCAUACUUUGUGCUCCCUGCAGGACAAGGAAGGGACAGAUCCUUUUCAAAGUGAGGCGCUGGUUUCUGGGGAGGGAAGUCUGGAUGAAGAAGCCAUUUCAGGUCAGGGCACCUUUCUGUCCCCAUGUGCCCCAGGGACAGCAUACCCAAGGCCCUCCCUUCUCCUCCUGACCUCUAGAACACCCCAGGCCAAACCUCAGGCGCCGUCAGUGUGUCCCGGACUACCAAGGGACCAUUCUAGGUUGUUGCUUUAGCUUUCUAGGCGGUAUACAAAGCACUGCCCUAGCCUGGCCCUCGGUGAGGUCCUGAACCCCAGCCCUGCAGCUCUUGGGAAAAUGAGAGACCCAGGGCAUGGUUUAUCCUGAAAUUCUGGAUCCGAGGUCCUGAGAAGGAGCUGGACCGAGCUGAGGGAGCCACCCUGGGCUGCUAGGGUUUCCACCAGCUUCUUUUUCUCUCUGAGCCCUCUGAAGGCAAGCAGUGAUGGCUGAGGCAGGUAGGACUCUGGGUACAGGUAGCCUCACCAGGAGUUCCUUUGUUCACUUAGUCAUUCAACAACACUUUAGCUCGUGUGUGUGUGUGUGUGUGUGUGUGUGUGUGUGUGUAGAGAGAGAGAUAGAGAGAGAGAUGUGCCAGGCACUGGAGUCAAGGUCCUUUCUCCCACUUUGUACCAAUCUCCUUUCCUGAUCUUGCCUGUUCCUCAGAUCCCGGGACUGUUCUCAAUUUGUCCAGACCAUGCUUGGUUAGACCAGUUGAGGUGGGUCUGGUCAGGCCCAGCUGACCAGUGCUGAUGCCACAUCUGAAGCACUCGACCCCCAUCCUGCUGCAGACUUGGGGGCUUGGAGCCUGGGUGGCGGGUUCCUCUUCUCCCAGCUUCCCAAUACCAAGCGCCCCCACCCCCACCUGCUGCUGGCCUUGACCCAAGGUAGGAUGUGCCCUGCAGAAGAGGUUGGGGUGCUCCCGGACAGACCCCUGGCAGCCCUGCCUGCAGUUUCAAGGACAGUUGAGUUAGUCCCCCUCAACACAGGCGGUGGGGGAGCCACCUGCCCUGAAGUCUGGAUGACCUUGGGCAAGCAUGUGGCAUCUCCCAGAGAUAAUGACAGAGUGAGCCACUCACUCUGCAGCCGGCGGGGUGGAUGUGGCUCGCACUUGGGCUGCAGAAGCAUCCAGGUGUGUCCUUUCCGUCCCUAACAGAGUUCCUGUCCCCCAGUGGGUUCCCAGGAGCCUAGGACUUCUGCGGAGGACCCACCAGCAGAGUGGAGCGAGAGACUAAAGAGCGGAGGUUUGAGUCAUUGUGAUGAGGCAACACUGUCAGAGACCAGAGGGGGACAGGGAGUAAGACCUCCCCUCCUCCCUAACCUGCAGAGGUUUCCCCACUGAGUCUGGAACAAAGCGCAGUCCAAGCCCUUGGCAGUGUGCCCAAGGCCACCUGCCAGGGGUCAGCUCCCGCGCCUCCCUCUCCAUCCUCUACCACCCUCUACCACCAGCUCACCUCCUCCAUGUGCCCCAGCUUCCUCCCUCUGCCCCGUGCUCCUCCCCUGACCUGAAAAGGCCCGCUCUGGUUAUAGGAUGGCUCAAGAGUGGCCUCUGCUCCCACCUCCCCCUUUGAGCUGACCUGGGCUGGCACAGAGUGGCGGCAGAGUCGGACUGGUCGAUGGGUUGAUGGCUUGGAGGUGGUGGGUGUGAGGACAGUGCUCCAGGACACGGGGCCAGGUCUGUCCCCACCCCGCUGCAUCCCCUUUGUCUCAGCCAGCGUAUUGGACAGCACAGGUUGGAAAACACAACUCCUAGACACAUUUUGUUGAUCCAGUGUCUUUCUCAUGUUCGCAUGUGUUGCCAACGCUGAACAACCAUACCGUGUCCCAUACAGAUACUGAUUUGGGCAUCCUCUUGAAAAAUCAGAUGCUGUGACAAGCCCAGACUGGAGCCAAAGAAUGAUGACCUCCUUUAGACUGGCUCUUCCCCUCCAGCUUGUCCCAGGCCCCGCCUGGCCUGUUCACUCGUGUACAUGACCUGCUGGCCCUUUUGGAGGCAUGUGGCUUUGCAGGCCUAAGGUAGAGGCCGGAAAAUGUUUGCUCAGAGGGUGACCUUCGUCUCGGUGUGUUUCGCCGCCAUGGGCACCCCCUGCCUCCCCCAUGGCCAGGUUAGAACAUGCACAGCACAGAGCUCCUCCCGGGUCUUGAGGGCACAGUGGGGAAGUGAGCCUGAAUCCCUCCAGCUGGAAGCAUCAACAUCCUGGUCCCACUUUCCACUCUGGGCCCUCUCUUAUGCCCCCUCCCUGAUAUUAGAAGGAUUCAGUGGGAGUUCCCAUCAUGGCUCAGUGGUUAGUGAAUCUGACUAGGAACCAUGAGGUUGCGGGUUCGAUCCCUGGCCUUGCUCAAUGGGUUAAGGAUCCGGCAUUGCCGUGAGCUGUGGUGUAUGUUGCAGACAUGGCUCGGAUCCUACGUUGUUGUGGCUCUGGUGUAGGCCAGCGGCUACAGCUCCAGUUGGACCCCUAGCCUGGGAACCUUCAUAUUCCGCAGAAGCGGCCCUAAAAAGACAAAAAAGCAAAAAAAAAAAGGAUUCAGCCAGCCAAAACCUGUUUUAACUGUCCCCUUUGCCUGGGAGCAAAAGUGCAAGGUUCUAGGCUCAGGUCUUGGGGGAGGACGGCCCUCUGGGCCUCAGUUGCGCAUGUGUCAGGGAGGGAUUGGACCAGAGCGUCUCUUAGCUAUAAGCUUCCUCCUUGUUCUGACUUUCUAGGACUCAGUCCAAACUGCUCUAAGUUUGGGUCAGGCAGGAGAGGGAGGGUCCUAGAUGCAGACGUCACUCAACAACAUUGACAUACCCGGAGUUCCCGUUGCGGCUCAGUGGGUUAAGAAUCCGACUAGUAUCCAUGAGGAGGCGGGUUCGAUCCCUGGCCUUGCUCAGUGGGUUAAGGAACCGGCAUUGCCGUGAGCUGUCGUGUUGGUGGCAGACGAGGCUUGGAUCCGGCGUGGCUGUGGCUGUGGCUGGCAGCUGCAGCUCCAAUGUAACCCCCAGCCUGGGAACUUACAUAAAAAGGGGGAAAAAAUACAUAUGUGUAUUGAUAUACCCUCAACAUGAUAGAACCCAAUGAGUGAUACAAAGUAGCUGAGCCAAGGAUCAGGAGUCAGCACUGGGCCUGGCUGAGAGCACAGGCUCUGGACUCCACCUAGGUUUGAAUCCCAUUGAGCUGCUGUGUGACCUUGGGUGAGUCCCUUAACCUCUCUGAGCUUCAAUUUACUUAUGUGGAAAAUAAGGAUAAUACACUGUGUGACCUUGGGCAAGUCCCUUAACCUCUCUGAGCUUCAGUUUACUUAUGUGGAAAAUAAGGAUAAUACCUACCUCAGGGUCAACAGGGGGAUUAAGUGAGCUCAAGCAUGUAAAGGGCCUAGGACAGGGUCUGGCAUGGGAAACGUGCCCAGUAACUAUUGGUUACUGAGGCCCUGGCAAGUGGGUGAAUUGAGUCACCCUUGGUGGUAAUGCCUUGGUUUUCCUGUAGCCGGUCUGGGGAAGCCAUAGGGCUUUUGGUGCUAACCCUGUGGGUGUUUGAGAGGCGGUAUUUUGAGGUACUUAAGAGCCUGCCCCAGAGUUCCUUUUGUGGCUCAGCUGGUUACAAACCCAAUGAGUAUCCAUGAGAAUGCAGGUGGGAUCCCUGGCCUUGAUCAGUAGGUUAAGGAUUCUGCGUUGCUGCAAGCUGUGGCAUAGGUUGCAGAUGUGGCUUGGAUCUGGUGUGGCUGUGGCUGUGGAGUGAGCCAGGAGCUGCAGUUCUGAUUUCACCCCUAACCUGGGAACUUCCAAAUGCCACAAGUGUGGCCCUAAAAAGCAAAAAAAAAAAAAAAAAAAAAAAA
rnacentral:lncRNA from 1 species